AUUCAAUCCUACCGGCAUGGAGGAGCAACUACGGUUCGAUUCGUUGAGAAUGGCCAGCUGAGUCAGAAGCACUGCGAUGAAGCUGUGAAAAAUAAAGACUUCGGUGCAAAAUCAAAGUCUACCCAUGACUUGCGAGUUCCUGAUAUAGUGAGCGCUGCCAAUAUCAAUGUUGGGAACCAAUUAAUUAGUUUAUACAAAAUAUUAACUACUAAUUGUAGGCAAUUUGGUUGACUUGUAACUCUUCAUUCGAAAAGUCAUGGAACUAUGGCGAUCCCAGGUUAGCUUGAAGGCGCUCUGUCAUUUCACUAGGCGAAUCUAUGUACAGUUUGAGUCUUUCGCUACUGGUGUGCAAAAAAUAUGACAUUCGAGACGCAAUACAGUGAUUUCUGUGUUCUGAUGAGAUGUCAUAUUUUGCCUAAUUGGAGAAAAUUCAGCAAUAUUGAGUUCAUGAAGAAUAGCUUAGAAGAAAUGCAAAAUUAGCGCCCGAGUCAAGGAAACGAAUGGCUGAAUUAACCUUGGCUUACUUCAAAGAAAGGCGUCCUGCAUGUAAUGGGCCUAUGAGGCGGAAGUAUAAUUGUCAAUAUAAAACCGCUUGAUCAAAAUUUCGGCCGAUUCCGCAGUAAUGGAUUAGUCUAUCUAUGUAGCAUCUCGUUGCCUUGACCCGUAUCGCUAUACUGCUGGAUAAGCCCAAUGAAUAGCUACGCUUUCAGGAUAAAUUGGAACAAGGUGGGCAUUUUAUGGAAGAUAAACUAUAGAAAGGUUUAACCAAGAGAGGAUGGAAGUGCACGUUUCUUCAGCGGCCACAGUAGUGACAUCAACGGUUUCAUCAUUUACUAGGAGCUGCAAUAGUUUAGAAGGAAAGUAUUAUUAAAUUAAGUUAUUAGUUGUUAAAGUGUACACGUAUGUAUGUAUGUACUUCCAGUCGUACAUACAAUAGGUAUGAAAGCAAAUUGAAGGCCAGAAGGGACAAAAAAAAACCUUUUUGUUUGCAUGAAAAAAUAAUUGUGUUGAACUCAUUUACCAGUAAUUUAUUGUUGUACUUCAAAAUUUAAGCUUAAA